rnacentral:rRNA from 1 species
AUUGAACGCUGGCGGCAGGCCUAACACAUGCAAGUCGAACGGUAACAGGAAGCAGCUUGCUGCUUUGCUGACGAGUGGCGGACGGGUGAGUAAUGUCUGGGAAACUGCCUGAUGGAGGGGGAUAACUACUGGAAACGGUAGCUGAUACCGCAUAACGUCGCAAGACCAAAGAGGGGGACCUUCGGGCCUCUUGCCAUCGGAUGUGCCCAGAUGGGAUUAGCUAGUAGGUGGGGUAACGGCUCACCUAGGCGACGAUCCCUAGCUGGUCUGAGAGGAUGACCAGCCACACUGGAACUGAGACACGGUCCAGACUCCUACGGGAGGCAGCAGUGGGGAAUAUUGCACAAUGGGCGCAAGCCUGAUGCAGCCAUGCCGCGUGUAUGAAGAAGGCCUUCGGGUUGUAAAGUACUUUCAGCGGGGAGGAAGGGAGUAAAGUUAAUACCUUUGCUCAUUGACGUUACCCGCAGAAGAAGCACCGGCUAACUCCGUG